rnacentral:rRNA from 1 species
AACGAACGCUGGCGGCAGGCCUAACACAUGCACGUCGAGCGAGGACUUCGGUCCUAGCGGCGGACGGGUGAGUAACGCGUGGGAACGUGCCCUUUGCUUCGGAAUAGCCCUGGGAAACUGGGAGUAAUACCGGAUGAGCCCUUUGGGGGAAAGAUUUAUCGGCGAAGGAUCGGCCCGCGUUGGAUUAGGUAGUUGGUGGGGUAAUGGCCUACCAAGCCGACGAUCCAUAGCUGGUUUGAGAGGAUGAUCAGCCACACUGGGACUGAGACACGGCCCAGACUCCUACGGGAGGCAGCAGUGGGGAAUCUUAGACAAUGGGGGAAACCCUGAUCUAGCCAUGCCGCGUGAGCGAUGAAGGCCUUAGGGUUGUAAAGCUCUUUCAGCUGGGAAGAUAAUGACGGUACCAGCAGAAGAAGCCCCGGCUAACUCCGUG